rnacentral:tRNA from 2 species
GCCGCGGUAGUUUAUCAAUAAAACACUAGCCUGUGGAGCUAGAAAAGGAACCACAUAUCAACCUUCCCCACAGCU